CCCGCACAAGCAGCGGAGCGUGUGGUUUAAUUCGAUGCUACACGAAGAACCUUACCAGGGCUUGACAUGUUAGAAGUAGGGACCCGAAAGGGCGACGACCUGUAUCCAGUCAGGAGCUUUCACAGGUGCUGCAUGGCUGUCGUCAGCUCGUGCCGUGAGGUGUUGGGUUAAGUCCCGCAACGAGCGCAACCCUCGUCGUAUGUUAUAUGUGUCAUACGAGACUGCCGGUAAAAAGCCGGAGGAAGGUGAGGAUGAUGUCAAGUCAGCAUGACCUUUAUAUCCAGGGCUACACACACGCUACAAUGGUCUGUACAAUGGGUAGCCAAGCCGCGAGGCGGAGCCAAUCCUGAAAGCAGGCCUCAGUUCAGAUUGCAGUCUGCAACUCGACUGCAUGAAGCCGGAGUUGCUAGUAACCGCAGGUCAGCAAUACUGCGGUGAAUACGUUCCCGGGUCUU
rnacentral:rRNA from 1 species